CAGCCGCCGCGGUAAUACGAAGGGUGCAAGCGUUACUCGGAAUUACUGGGCGUAAAGCGUGUGUAGGUGGUUGUUUAAGUCUGUCGUGAAAGCCCUGGGCUCAACCUGGGAAUUGCAGUGGAUACUGGGUCACUAGAGUGUGGUAGAGGAUAGUGGAAUUUCCGGUGUAGCAGUGAAAUGCGUAGAGAUCGGAAGGAACAUCUGUGGCGAAGGCGACUAUCUGGGCCAACACUGACACUGAGGCACGAAAGCGUGGGGAGCAAACAGGAUUAGAUACCCCCGUAGUCCCUGUCUCUUAUAC
rnacentral:rRNA from 1 species